AUAAAGGAGAAAACUCGGCUGCGGGCACCUCCCAACGCCACCUUGGAACAUUUCUACCUGACCAGUGGCAAGCAGCCCAAGCAGGUGGAAGUAGAGCUUUUGUCCCGGCAGAGCGGGCUCUCUGGCCGCCAGGUAGAGCGUUGGUUCCGUCGCCGCCGCAACCAGGACCGGCCCAGUCUCCUCAAGAAGUUCCGAGAAGCCAGCUGGAGAUUCACAUUUUACCUGAUUGCCUUCAUUGCCGGCAUGGCCGUCAUUGUGGAUAAACCCUGGUUCUAUGACAUGAAGAAAGUUUGGGAGGGAUAUCCCAUACAGGUAUGAGUUCUGCUUCCUCAUGUGGGGGUGGACUAAGACACACCCUAGUGAAGAGACGGUUUGUGGAAUCCAUGGCAGAGGGAUUAGAGUGAUGGAAUGAAGAACCUCAGGGGCUAGGGGGUUUGUGGAGUGGGGACACCCUUGCGGCUGGUUGCUCUUACCUCUCUCUCCUCUCCCAGAGCACUAUCCCUUCCCAGUAUUGGUACUACAUGAUUGAACUUUCCUUCUACUGGUCCCUGCUCUUCAGCAUUGCCUCUGAUGUCAAGCGAAAGGUGGGUGAAG
rnacentral:lncRNA from 1 species